rnacentral:rRNA from 1 species
UACAGAGGUCUCGAGCGUUGUUCGGAUUCAUUGGGCGUAAAGGGUGCGUAGGCGGCGGGGUAAGUCUGAUGUGAAAUUCCAGGGCCCAACCUUGGGACUGCAUUGGAUACUGCCUUGCUAGAGAACUGGAGAGGAGACUGGAAUUUACGGUGUAGCAGUGAAAUGCGCAGAGAUCGUAAGGAAGACCAGUGGCGAAGGCGAGUCUCUGGACAGAUUCUGACGCUGAGGCACGAAGGCCAGGGGAGCAAACGGG